AUGCCUCCAAUGCCAUAUAUUGGAAGGAUGACCAUUUCUUCUGUGAUGCUCUCGGAUAAAAUAGACAAUAUUUUCUGUUUUUCCUUGGUCCUUCCGAUGAUUACUUGUUCCACAUCUGAUGAUGUUUCCCUGUCAGCAAGUUGCUGCACAGUACGGUUAGAGUUAUCUGUUGGCAUCAAAUUGCAAUGUCUAUGUUCAUUAUUGUUUAGUUCAGCUACCAUCAUCUCCAACAUAUUAGACUCGCUCUUGAGACCAAUUGUUGGACACGGGAACACAUCUGCCAUCUGCAACCAGUUUUUAUGUGUAAGUACAUGGAGAAGACCAAUAGAAUUAUCAUGA
rnacentral:rRNA from 1 species